AUUGAACGCUGGCGGCAGGCCUAACACAUGCAAGUCGAGCGGAUGACGGGAGCUUGCUCCUUGAUUCAGCGGCGGACGGGUGAGUAAUGCCUAGGAAUCUGCCUGGUAGUGGGGGACAACGUUUCGAAAGGAACGCUAAUACCGCAUACGUCCUACGGGAGAAAGCAGGGGACCUUCGGGCCUUGCGCUAUCAGAUGAGCCUAGGUCGGAUUAGCUAGUAGGUGAGGUAAUGGCUCACCUAGGCGACGAUCCGUAACUGGUCUGAGAGGAUGAUCAGUCACACAGGAACUGAGACACGGUCCAGACUCCUACGGGAGGCAGCAGUGGGGAAUAUUGGACAAUGGGCGAAAGCCUGAUCCAGCCAUGCCGCGUGUGUGAAGAAGGUCUUCGGAUUGUAAAGCACUUUAAGUUGGGAGGAAGGGCAGUAAGCUAAUACCUUGCUGUUUUGACGUUACCGACAGAAUAAGCACCGGCUAACUACGUGCCAGCCGCCGCGGUAAGAC
rnacentral:rRNA from 1 species